GGGACCCUGAUGCAGCCAUGCCGCGUGUGUGAAGAAGGCCUUCGGGUUGUAAAGCACUUUCAGUAGGGAGGAAGGUAGUGUAGUUAACACCUGCAUUAUUUGACGUUACCUACAGAAGAAGCACCGGCUAACUCCGUGCCAGCAGCCGCGGUAAUACGGAGGGUGCGAGCGUUAAUCGGAAUUACUGGGCGUAAAGCGCAUGCAGGCGGCCUGUUAAGUCAGAUGUGAAAGCCCGGGGCUUAACCUCGGAAUUGCAUUUGAAACUGGCAGGCUAGAGUCUUGUAGAGGGGGUAGAAUUUCAGGUGUAGCGGUGAAAAUGCGUAGAGAUCUGAAGGAAUACCAGUGGCGAAGGCGGCCCCCUGGACAAAGACUGACGCUCAGAUGCGAAAGCGUGGGGAGCAAACAGGAUUAGAUACCCUGGUAG
rnacentral:rRNA from 1 species